UACGUAGGGCGCAAGCGUUGUCCGGAAUUAUUGGGCGUAAAGAGUUCGUAGGCGGUUUGUCGCGUCUGCUGUGAAAACCUAAGGCUCAACCUUGGGCUUGCAGUGGGUACGGGCAGACUAGAGUGCGGUAGGGGGUGACUGGAAUUCCUGGUGUAGCGGUGGAAUGCGCAGAUAUCAGGAGGAACACCGAUGGCGAAGGCAGGUCACUGGGCCGCAACUGACGCUGGAGGAGCGAAAGCAUGGGAGCGAACAGG
rnacentral:rRNA from 1 species